rnacentral:lncRNA from 1 species
CAUUAGGAGAAUGAUCUGCCUAUGUUUACAUUUCACCUCUCACCGCACCACAAAUUUUACAACAAUCUUGUGACCUUGGAAUGGGAUGCAUCAGAAGUUCAGAAGAUACAGGGCUUGCUGGCAGCAGGAUCUUAAUGAGCACCAUGCAUGAUAAACAACAAAAAAAAUAGCCUCUAGUGGUAAUAGAUAAAAAUUAUAAUGUCGUGGAGUC